rnacentral:tRNA from 1 species
GCCGCUAUGGUGGAAUCGGUAGACACGCUGCUCUUAGGAAGCAGUGCUAAAGCAUCUCGGUUCGAGUCCGAGUGGCGGCA